rnacentral:rRNA from 1 species
ACGAACGCUGGCGGCGUGCUUAACACCUGCAAGUCGAACGGAAAGGCCCUGCUUUUGUGGGGUGCUCGAGUGGCGAACGGGGGAGUAACACGUGAUUAACCUGCCCUUGACUUUGGGAUAACUUCAGGAAACGGGGGCUAAUACCGGAUAGGAUCUCCUGCUGCAUGGGGGGGGUUGGAAAGUUUCGGCGGUUGGGGAGGGACUCGCGGCUUAUCAGCUUGUUGGUGGGGUAGUGGCUUACCAAGGCUUUGACGGGUAGCCGGCCUGAGAGGGUGACCGGCCACAUUGGGACUGAGAUACGGCCCAGACUCCUACGGGAGGCAGCAGUGGGGAAUAUUGCACAAUGGGCGGAAGCCUGAUGCAGCAACGCCGCGUGCGGGAUGACGGCCUUCGGGUUGUAAACCGCUUUCGCCUGUGACGAAGCGUGAGUGACGGUAAUGGGUAAAGAAGCACCGGCUAACUACGUG